rnacentral:lncRNA from 1 species
CUGAUGUUCUCACCCUCCACAGAGUUGAUACCAAGCUCUGUGCGACUGAUGCCUGGAGCUUUACUACAGGACACCCAAGGACUGCUGGAAAGGGACUACUGUUUUACCUUUUCCUGUGAGCACUGGCUAUUUUUACUUCUGAAAAGGCAUCUCUUUCCAUCAGAACAGACACUAUCAUCCCUGGUCUCUCUCACAGCUCCCUCUUCCUCUUGUUGACAUUGCCCCCAAACCAUUUCCACACUGGAAGCAGCUUUACACAGUUUGGCAACAGCUUGCGAGAGGUGAGAGAACA